rnacentral:rRNA from 1 species
ACCUGAAACCGUGUACGUACAAGCAGUGGGAGCACAGGUUUACCUGUGUGACUGCGUACCUUUUGUAUAAUGGGUCAGCGACUUAUAUUCUGUAGCAAGGUUAACCGUAUAGGGGAGCCGUAGGGAAACCGAGUCUUAACCGGGCGUUAAGUUGCAGGGUAUAGACCCGAAACCCGGUGAUCUAGCCAUGGGCAGGUUGAAGGUUGGGUAACACUAACUGGAGGACCGAACCGACUAAUGUUGAAAAAUUAGCGGAUGACCUGUGGCUGGGGGUGAAAGGCCAAUCAAACCGGGAGAUAGCUGGUUCUCCCCGAAAGCUAUUUAGGUAGCGCCUCGUGAAUUCAUCUCCGGGGGUAGAGCACUGUUUCGGCUAGGGGGCCAUCCCGGCUUACCAACCCGAUGCAAACUGCGAAUACCGGAGAAUGUUAUCACGGGAGACACACGGCGGGUGCUAACGUCCGUCGUGAAGAGGGAAACAACCCAGACCGCCAGCUAAGGUCCCAAAGUCAUGGUUAAGUGGGAAACGAUGUGGGAAGGCCCAGACAGCCAGGAUGUUGGCUUAGAAGCAGCCAUCAUUUAAAGAAAGCGUAAUAGCUCACUGGUCGAGUCGGCCUGCGCGGAAGAUGUAACGGGGCUAAACCAUGCACCGAAGCUGCGGCAGCGACGCUGAUGCGUUGUUGGGUAGGGGAGCGUUCUGUAAGCCUGCGAAGGUGGCCUGUGAGGGUUGCUGGAGGUAUCAGAAGUGCGAAUGCUGACAUAAGUAACGAUAAAGCGGGUGAAAAGCCCGCUCGCCGGAAGACCAAGGGUUCCUGUCCAACGUUAAUCGGGGCAGGGUGAGUCGACCCCUAAGGCGAGGCCGAAAGGCGUAGUCGAUGGGAAACGGGUUAAUAUUCCCGUACUUGGUGUUACUGCGAAGGGGGGACGGAGAAGGCUAUGUUGGCCGGGCGACGGUUGUCCCGGUUUAAGCGUGUAGGUGUGUGUUCCAGGUAAAUCCGGUUCACUUUAACACUGAGGCGUGAUGACGAGGCACUACGGUGCUGAAGCAACAAAUGCCCUGCUUCCAGGAAAAGCCUCUAAGCAUCAGGUAACAUCAAAUCGUACCCCAAACCGACACAGGUGGUCAGGUAGAGAAUACCAAGGCGCUUGAGAGAACUCGGGUGAAGGAACUAGGCAAAAUGGUGCCGUAACUUCGGGAGAAGGCACGCUGACACGUAGGUGAAGUGAUUUACUCAUGGAGCUGAAGUCAGUCGAAGAUACCAGCUGGCUGCAACUGUUUAUUAAAAACACAGCACUGUGCAAACACGAAAGUGGACGUAUACGGUGUGACGCCUGCCCGGUGCCGGAAGGUUAAUUGAUGGGGUCAGCGCAAGCGAAGCUCCUGAUCGAAGCCCCGGUAAACGGCGGCCGUAACUAUAACGGUCCUAAGGUAGCGAAAUUCCUUGUCGGGUAAGUUCCGACCUGCACGAAUGGCGUAAUGAUGGCCAGGCUGUCUCCACCCGAGACUCAGUGAAAUUGAACUCGCUGUGAAGAUGCAGUGUACCCGCGGCAAGACGGAAAGACCCCGUGAACCUUUACUAUAGCUUGACACUGAACAUUGAGCCUUGAUGUGUAGGAUAGGUGGGAGGCUUUGAAGUGUGGACGCCAGUCUGCAUGGAGCCGACCUUGAAAUACCACCCUUUAAUGUUU